GGGCCGGUAGCUCAGUUUGGGAGAGCGCCUCGUUCGCAAUGAGGAGGUCGUGGGUUCGACCCCCAUCCGGUCCACCA
rnacentral:tRNA from 1 species